rnacentral:lncRNA from 1 species
AUUUAAUAGCUAAGGCUUUUAAAAAGGAAAUGUUGCUGCAUUAUACAAGAUGAUCCAUAGGCAAUAACGUUCCCUUCUUCAUCUCUGUAUCAACAUACAUCAAUUUACUUCAUGUUCUCCUCCUCCUUCCAAGAUCAAAUAUUCUAAUCUUCCUCCAUCGAUUUCAUGGUUAUAACAUCGAUAUACUAUGAAUAUUAUCAAUCCGAAUAUUACUUUGUAAUGAAGUAAGGUAUCGAGAAGCUUUAAAGAGGCGAUCUUGGUUUGAUCCGUUGCCUACGAUCUUCUACGAGCUCAUACGUGCAAUUAAGGUAUGUUAAGUCUAUCCCUUCUUUCUUUUUGGCAUGAUCCAAAUGAUACAAAUGAAACGAGCAAAAUACGCAACUCUCAUAAAUGACUUUAUUCAUAAAAAUACCAGGGGUGUCUAUAUUCUUGAUUCCACAUGUGAAUUAUUAUUAUAUCCUCUGUUCAUGGGUCUCAGAAAAAUACGUAUUUGAUAAAGUUUGUCCGAAAGGCAUAUUGAUUUUAUAAUAGUCGAGAAAUCUUAUUAAUGUAUUUCUUAUGCAUUUCAUGCAUUUAUACAUGUACAUUGACCCAUGACCAGAAGGCGUUAUAUACUCGCAUAUUAUGUGUAUAUGGGAUAUGGAAAAAGGUUAUGGCGUUAUAUACGCACUACCACCUGAUCAGCUGGUAUACGUUUGAUGAUUUACCCACAGUGGCCGAGAUGAUAUGAUGGGAUGCCCUUAGAGAUUUGAUGAUGUUAUGUACGCAUAUACCUAUGCAUGGUAUGACAUUUAUACGUAUAUGUAUGAUAUUAUAAAUAUGAAAUGAUUCACAGGGUUAUUCAAACUUACAUGUCUUUUACUCCAUGUUUCUCUCAUGUCUAUUAUUUACUAAUUUUCAUUCCUUACAUACUCGGUACAUUAUUUGUACUGACGUCCCUUUUGCCUGGGGACGCUGCGUUUCAUGCCUGCAGGUCCUGAUAAACAGGCUGCGAGUCCUCCAAGUAGGCUAUCAGCUCAUCGGAAGGUAUUAGUACGCUCCAUUUGCUCCGGAGUUGCUUAUUUGGUCAGUAUGAUUUGAACAUGUAUUAAUUAGUAUUACGGGGCCAUGUCCCGACCUUUUUGGUAUUCAUCUACUCUUAGAGGCUUGUAGACAUAUGUCAUGUACGUGAAAGAUUGUACGGCCUUAUCGGCCUAUGUUCAAUGUACGAGUGAUCAUUUUGGUCUUAUAGGCCCGUAUGUCAUAUGUAUAAGUUCGUAUUACAUGUUGGGUCAUCCAAUGUUGAGUGUUUCCUCA